rnacentral:rRNA from 1 species
UUGAUGUCAACGUGAAGAAAUUCAACCAAGCCCGGUUAAACGGCGGAAGCAACUAUGACUCUCUUAAGUUAGCCAAAUGCCUUGCCAUCUAAAUAGUGACACGCAUCAAUGGAUUAACAAGAUUCCCACCGUCUCUAUCGACUAUCUAGCGAAACCUCAGCCAAGGGAACAGGCUUGGAUAGUCAGCAGGGUAAGAAGACCCUGUUGAGCUUGUCUUUCGUUUGACAUUGUGAAAAAACAUAGGGUGUGUGAAAUAAGUGGGAGCUAUGGGGCCGGUGAAAUACCACUGCCCUGAUUGUUUCUUUUUUCCUAUUCAAUGAAGCAGGAUUGGCAUUCACCGGCCACCUUCUGGUAUUACGGCACUCAGGGCGCUAACCUGGGCUGAAGAAAUCGGCAGGUGAGGAGUUUGACUCGUGCCACACAUCUGUUUAAAGAUAACGCAGGUGUCCUAAGGGGAACUCAUCAGGAACAGAAAUCUCGAGUAAAGCAAAACGGUCAAAGUUCCCUUCAUAUUGAUUUUCAGUGUGAACACAAACCAUGAAAGUGCGGCCUAUCCAUCGUUUAGUCGCUGGGUAUUUCAGGCUAGAGAAGUUAGAAAAUUUACCACAGUGGUAACUGGCUUGUGGCAGCCAAGCUUUCCUAGUGGAGUUGCUUUUUAAUCCUUCAAUGUUGGCUCUUCCUAUGAUUAAGAAGCAGACCUCUCAUAGCAUGGGAUUAUUCACCCACCAUUAGGGAACAUGAGCUGGGUUCAGACCGUCGUGAGUUAGGUUAGUUUUACCCUCCUGGUGAAGGAUUAUUGCAAUAGUAAUUCAACCUAAAACGAGAGGAACCGUUGAUUCCCAUAACUGGUUUUUGCGGUGGGCUGAAUAGCUAGUGCCGCAACGCUACCAUACCUUGUAUUACAGAUGAUCGCCUCUAAGUCAGAAUCCAUGCCAGAACGUGAUGAUUUCUCCUGUCUCCAUGUUGG